GAUGAACGCUGGCGGCGUGCCUAAUACAUGCAAGUCGAGCGAACGGACGAGAAGCUUGCUUUUCUGAUGUUAGCGACGGACGGGUGAGUAACACGUGGAUAACCUACCUAUAAGACUGGGAUAACUUCGGGAAACCGGAGCUAAUACCGGAUAAUAUUUUGAACCGCAUGGUUCAAAAGUGAAAGACGGUCUUGCUGUCACUUAUAGAUGGAUCCGCGCUGCAUUAGCUAGUUGGUAAGGUAACGGCUUACCAAGGCAACGAUGCAUAGCCGACCUGAGAGGGUGAUCGGCCACACUGGAACUGAGACACGGUCCAGACUCCUACGGGAGGCAGCAGUAGGGAAUCUUCCGCAAUGGGCGAAAGCCUGACGGAGCAACGCCGCGUGGGUGAUGAAGGUCUUCGGAUCGUAAAACUCUGUUAUUAGGGAAGAACAUAUGUGUAAGUAACUGUGCACAUCUUGACGGUACCUAAUCAGAAAGCCACGGCUAACUACGUG
rnacentral:rRNA from 1 species